rnacentral:rRNA from 1 species
GACGAACGCUGGCGGCGUGCUUAACACAUGCAAGUCGAGCGGUAAGGCUCCUUCGGGGGUACACGAGCGGCGAACGGGUGAGUAACACGUGAGUAAUCUGCCCUUCACUUCGGGAUAAGCUUCGGAAACGGGGUCUAAUACCGGAUAUGACAACUGGAUGCAUGUUUGGUUGUGGAAAGUUUUUUCGGUGGGGGAUGUGCUCGCGGCCUAUCAGCUUGUUGGUGGGGUAAUGGCCUACCAAGGCUUUGACGGGUAGCCGGCCUGAGAGGGUGACCGGCCACACUGGGACUGAGACACGGCCCAGACUCCUACGGGAGGCAGCAGUGGGGAAUAUUGGACAAUGGGCGGAAGCCUGAUCCAGCAACGCCGCGUGAGGGAUGACGGCCUUCGGGUUGUAAACCUCUUUCGUCAUCGACGAAGUCAUGGUUUUUCCAUGGUGACGGUAGGUGGGGAAGAAGCACCGGCCAACUACGUGCCAGCCGCCGCCGUAAAAC